GUGGCUCCACACGGGCACUGGGAGGGGGUAGGCAACCUCCCCUGCUUGCUGAACCUGGUUUUAGAGGAGGGGCUGGGAACUGGGUGACCCUCUUUUGACAGACCCCUGUUUGGGAGUUUGGCGAGGUUCCACACGGUAGUGCUAACCCCGCCUUCAGACCUCAAGCCCUGUUUUUGCUGGUCGUGAGAAUAGCUUCAUUAUCUCUUAGAACAAAUUGCAUCUCUGAAUUACUGUGAAACUAUGGGCCACUUUGCACAUAAUGGCAAACAAGGGUCCCAAAGACACACAGUUUCCCUCCACACACACACACACCGCAUGCUCCCAGUCAAUCACAAUCCCAGGAGGCAGGGACUGGCUGCGCAGGCUUCCUCUAACCCUGCAAAGACAGCCCGUACCAGCCAGUGUGAGGGAAGCCUGUGAGAGGAGGUUUGGGGUAAAAUCUCAAUCCAGAUGACACAGAGGAAGGAAUGGACCCUUGGCUGGGUGAAUGAAACUCACUACAGACUGAGGGUUCAUUCUGAGUUUUGGCAGUGAAUUCAGAACUGUGGUUGGAUCCAGGAACCAUGGUUCCAAUCGUUUGGACAACACAGCAAGUGAGCCUGAGGAAACUUCUCUGCCUGCUGUCAACCUUUUCAGACUUGAAAAGAAAUAAGCCAAAUGGACUUGAAGGCUCCUCCAUCUCCCUGAAUGAAAGCUUGCUGAUUGCCCACACUUCUCUCCACAUUCAUUGCCUUCCACCGCCACUAUAUUAUAUGGCUAAUGCUGAUGGUGGAAAAUCCUCUUUGACAGCUAACAGUGAAUUUCUCCCAUUCUUUUAUCAUUACAUACACAUUUCUCUGUGUUUCAUUGGUGACUGGAAUGACUGAGCCAGAUGGGCAACACUGCAAGCUCCACAUCCUUUUUAAUCAACAUGGAUGGCAUAGGUCAAGGUGGCUUCGCUUAUUAGUGACAUCAAGAUAGCACUGGUAAAAUGGCAUGCAAUGUCUCUUGCUGGAUAAUCUACUAAGGCUGGUGUGGUGAUGACUUUGGAAGAGGUCAUCCAAUGGGUACAAAGCUGAUUACAUGUUGGAAUGUUGAUGCAUCAAAGCAACACUGAAUGUCCCCCCCUGCUGCUUUUUCCUACCCUUUGUAGAUUUAGGUUCAUCUGUCUGUCCCUGUGCAAAGAGGCACUUUGUAAAGCAAUGGCUGUCAUAUUUAGCAUGGGGAGGAAAACUGUCUCUGUUCAACCCAGUAAAGCAUCC